AGUCGACGAGCUUCCGUUGAUGACGUGCUUGCACUGAUUUCAACAAUGAAGCGAGUGGCGAACUGGUGAGUAACACGUGGGAAAUCUGCCCAGAAGCAGGGGAUAACACUUGGAAACAGGUGCUAAUACCGUAUAACAACAAAAUCCGCAUGGAUUUUGUUUGAAAGGUGGCUUCGGCUAUCACUUCUGGAUGAUCCCGCGGCGUAUUAGUUAGUUGGUGAGGUAAAGGCCCACCAAGACGAUGAUACGUAGCCGACCUGAGAGGGUAAUCGGCCACAUUGGGACUGAGACACGGCCCAAACUCCUACGGGAGGCAGCAGUAGGGAAUCUUCCACAAUGGACGAAAGUCUGAUGGAGCAAUGCCGCGUGAGUGAAGAAGGGUUUCGGCUCGUAAAACUCUGUUGUUAAAGAAGAACACCUUUGAGAGUAACUGUUCAAGGGUUGACGGUAUUUAACCAGAAAGCCACGGCUAACUACGUGCCAGCAGCCGCGGUAAUACGUAGGUGGCAAGCGUUGUCCGGAUUUAUUGGGCGUAAAGCGAGCGCAGGCGGUUUUUUAAGUCUGAUGUGAAAGCCUUCGGCUUAACCGGAGAAGUGCAUCGGAAACUGGGAGACUUGAGUGCAGAAGAGGACAGUGGAACUCCAUGUGUAGCGGUGGAAUGCGUAGAUAUAUGGAAGAACACCAGUGGCGAAGGCGGCUGUCUAGUCUGUAACUGACGCUGAGGCUCGAAAGCAUGGGUAGCGAACAGGAUUAGAUACCCUGGUAGUCCAUGCCGUAAACGAUGAGUGCUAAGUGUUGGAGGGUUUCCGCCCUUCAGUGCUGCAGCUAACGCAUUAAGCACUCCGCCUGGGGAGUACGACCGCAAGGUUGAAACUC
rnacentral:rRNA from 1 species